AAAUAAUUUUAUUUUAGUUAAUAAGAUUAUUAUUAAUUUAACUUAUAUGUAAUUUUUUGAAUGAUUAUUUUAUUAUUUUAAAAAUAAUAAUUAUAUUUAAUUAAUCGCAAUAAUUGGGUAUUAUAUAUUAAAGAAAUUUAGAAAUAGUAAUAUUAAAUAGUAUUGAUAAAAUUUGUGCCAGCAAUCGCGGUUAUACUAAAAAUACAAAUAAUUUUUAUUUAUUUAAGUAAAAAUGUUAAUUUUAUUAGUAAGUAUAUUUAUUAAGUGAAAUUUUAAAUAUAUAAAUAUAUAAUUUAUUUUUAUAGUUGAUUCUUGAAAAUUUUAAGUAUAAACUAGGAUUAGAUACCCUAUUAUAUAAAAUAAAAUUUUAAAAAUAUAAGUAGUAAUAGUUAUGUUCUUGAAACUUAAAAAAUUUGGCGGUAUUUUAGUCUAUUCAGAGGAACUUGUUUUAUAAUCGAUAAUCCACGUUGGACCUUUCUUAAAUUAGUUUACAAUUUAUAUACCGUCGUUAUUAGAAUAUUUUAUUAGAAUAAUAAUUUUCUUAAUUUUUAAUUAAAAUUUAUAUCAGAUCAAGGUGUAGUUUAUGUUUAAGUAUAAAUGGGUUACAAUAAAUAUAUUUAAAUGGAUUUAAAUUUGAAAUAUUUAUUGAAAUUGGAUUUGGUAGUAAAAUUAUAUAGAUAAAUAAUUUGAUUUUAGCUCUAUAAUAUGUACAUAUCGCCCGUCACUCUUUCUAUUAAGAAAGAUAAGUCGUAACAUAGUAGAUUUACUGGAAAGUGUAUCUAGAUUAC
rnacentral:ncRNA from 1 species